ensembl:snRNA U6 U6 spliceosomal RNA
GUGCUCGCUUUGGCAGCACAUAUACUAAAAUUGGAAUGAUACAGAGAAAGAUUAGCAUGGCCCCUGUGCAAAGAUAAUACAUAAAUUUGCGAGGCGUUCCAUAUUUUG